UACCAGCACCCCGAGUGGUCGGGACGAUUAUUGGGCCUAAAGCAUCCGUAGCCGGUCAUGCAAGUCCUCCGUUAAAUCCAGCCGCUCAACGGUUGGGCUGCGGAGGAUACUACGUGGCUAGGAGGCGGGAGAGGCAAGCGGUACUCAGUGGGUAGGGGUAAAAUCCUUUGAUCCAUUGAAGACCACCAGUGGCGAAGGCGGCUUGCCAGAACGCGCUCGACGGUGAGGGAUGAAAGCUUGGGGAGCAAACCGG
rnacentral:rRNA from 1 species